ACUGGGAUAACUCCGGGAAACCGGAGCUAAUACCGGGUAAUACAUCGCACCGCAUGGUGCAAUGUUGAAAGUUGGCUUUCGAGCUAACACUGCAGGAUGGGCCCGCGGCGCAUUAGCUAGUUGGUAAGGUAAUGGCUUACCAAGGCGACGAUGCGUAGCCGACCUGAGAGGGUGAUCGGCCACACUGGGACUGAGACACGGCCCAGACUCAUACGGGAGGCAGCAGUAGGGAAUCUUCCGCAAUGGACGAAAGUCUGACGGAGCAACGCCGCGUGAGUGACGAAGGCCUUCGGGUCGUAAAGCUCUGUUGUUAGGGAAGAACAAGUACCGUUCGAAUAGGGCGGUACCUUGACGGUACCUAACCAGAAAGCCACGGCUAACUACGUGCCAGCAGCCGCGGUAAUACGUAGGUGGCAAGCGUUGUCCGGAAUUAUUGGGCGUAAAGCGCGCGCAGGCGGUCUUUUAAGUCUGAUGUGAAAGCCCACGGCUCAACCGUGGAGGGUCAUUGGAAACUGGAGGACUUGAGUGCAGAAGAGGAGAGUGGAAUUCCACGUGUAGCGGUGAAAUGCGUAGAUAUGUGGAGGAACACCAGUGGCGAAGGCGGCUCUCUGGUCUGUAACUGACGCUGAGGCGCGAAAGCGUGGGGAGCA
rnacentral:rRNA from 1 species